GGACCCCUAGCUCAGUGGUAGAGCGUAUGAUUCCAGUGAUUGCUUGGGUAAUCGUGUUUCCAUAAGGUCGUCAGUUCAACUCUGGCGGGGUUCA